rnacentral:tRNA from 1 species
GGCGGCAGGGGUCUGGUGGCCCAUCUGGCCUUCAAAGCCAGCAGGGCGGUGCAGCCCACCGCUUGGAAGGUUCGAUUCCUUCGCCGCCU